GACGAACCGUGCGAACGUUGUUCGGAAUCACUGGGCUUAAAGGGCGCGUAGCGGGCUGCCAAGUCUGGGGUGAAAUCCCACGGCUCAACCGUGGAACUGCCUCGGAUACUGGCGGUCUCGAGGGAGGUAGGGGCAUGCGGAACUGUGGGUGGAGCGGUGAAAUGCGUUGAUAUCCACAGGAACUCCGGUGGCGAAAGCGGCGUGCUGGACCUCUUCUGACGCUGAGGCGCGAAAGCUAGGGGAGCAAACGGGAUUAG
rnacentral:rRNA from 1 species